rnacentral:lncRNA from 1 species
AUCGGGCAGGGCGCCGGCAGGGCUAAUUUCCCGCUCGGCCCUGGCCCGGAGGGCCCCAUGGCCGCCAUGAGCGCGAUGGAGCCUCACCACGUGAACGGAUCCCUGGGCUCGGGCGACAUGGACGGGUUGCCGAAGAGUUCCCCCGGCGCCGUGGCCGGCCUGAGCAACGCCCCGGGCACCCCGCGGGACGACGGCGAGAUGGCGGCCGCCGGGACCUUCCUGCACCCGUUCCCGAGCGAAAGCGUAAGCGACUGCGUCGACUCCCCCCCCGCGGCGGCGUCGGGCCGGAGGGGCUGGCGGGCAGGCCCCGGCGGGGCGGCCGGGGGGCCAGAGCAAGACCGUGACCGCGGCGGGCCAGGUGGGGGGGCGGCCGCGGCAUCCUUUCCCUCUCCUCAACCUCUCCCCACCCCCCACCACCUCCCGCUCCUAUUUCACCGUCCCGAUCCCAUCCGCCCCCACCCCGGGACCCGCGCCCCAGGGCGGCCUUCCCAUGCAUCGCCCCUCCCCCGUUCCCUCCUGUCCCCACCCCAUGUCUGCCCAGGACCCAGCCCUGCCCUGUCCCCCAUUGUCCCUGGGGGCGGGUCCCAGCCUCUUCCGGAGCUGAACUCGGCCCCUGCGCGCUGCCCCCUCCUCUCUCCGCAGUACUCGCCAGGGAUGACCAUGAGCGUGUGAUGGGGCGGCAGCCCCGGGCCUCUCUGCGGGCCUAGGCUUCUGCCCAGCGCCCCUGCUCAGGGCGAGGGGCUGAGGUCACACCUCGGGCACCUGGACUCCUGGCCAAUCAAGGCUUGCCCAGCUGGGAGGCCCCACACGAAAGACUCUUACCAUUUUAUUAAAAACGCAAGGACCUCAGAGACGUUCUUUUCUGUAUGGACCCUUCCUGCCAUUUGUAUUUUGUCCCAGAGAGAAAGGCUCUUUGGGGGGCCCCUCUCCCCAGGACGUCAGGGGGUGGGGCCCAUAAAUAAAUGGAAGCUGGUUUUGGUUUUUGG